GUGCUUACUUUGGCAGCAUAUAUACUAAAAUUGGAAUGAUACAGAGAUUAGCAUGGCCUCUGCAGAAGGAUGGCAUGCAAAUUCGUGAAGCAUUCCAUAAUUUU
rnacentral:snRNA from 1 species